UCUGACCUCAAAUCAGGUAGGACUACCCGCUGAACUUAAGCAUAUCAAUAAGCGGAGGAAAAGAAACUAACAAGGAUUCCCCUAGUAACUGCGAGUGAAGCGGGAAAAGCUCAAAUUUAAAAUCUGGCAGCUUUGGUUGUCCGAGUUGUAGUCUGGAGAAGCGUUUUCUGUGCUGGACCGUGUACAAGUCUCUUGGAACAGAGCGUCGUAGAGGGUGAGAAUCCCGUCUUUGACACGGACUGCCAGUGCUUUGUGAUGCGCUCUCAAAGAGUCGAGUUGUUUGGGAAUGCAGCUCAAAAUGGGUGGUAAAUUCCAUCUAAAGCUAAAUAUUGGCGAGAGACCGAUAGCGAACAAGUACCGUGAGGGAAAGAUGAAAAGCACUUUGGAAAGAGAGUUAAACAGUACGUGAAAUUGCUGAAAGGGAAACGCUUGAAGUCAGUCGCGUUGGCCAGAACUCAGCCUGGCUUUUGCCUGGUGCAUUUUCUGGUUGACGGGCCAGCAUCAAUUUUGACCGCUGGAUAAAGGCCUUGGGAAUGUGGCACCUUCGGGUGUGUUAUAGCCCUUGGUUGUAUACAGUGGUUGGGAUUGAGGAUCUCAGCAUGCCUUUAUGGUCGGGGUUCGCCCACGUUCAUGCUUAGGAUGCUGGCGUAAUGGCUUUAAACGACCCGUCUUGAAACACGGACCAAGGAGUCUAACAUGCCUGCGAGUGUUUGGGUGGAAAACCCGAGCGCGUAAUGAAAGUGAAAGUUGGGAUCCCUGUCGUGGGGAGCACCGACGCCCGGACCAGACCUUCUGUGACGGCUCCGCGGUAGAGCAUGUAUGUUGGGACCCGAAAGAUGGUGAACUAUGCCUGAAUAGGGUGAAGCCAGAGGAAACUCUGGUGGAGGCUCGUAGCGAUUCUGACGUGCAAAUCGAUCGUCAAAUUUGGGUAUAGGGGCGAAAGACUAAUCGAACCAUCUAGUAGCUGGUUCCUGCCGAAGUUUCCCUCAGGAUAGCAGAAACUCAUGUCAGAUUUAUGUGGUAAAGCGAAUGAUUAGAGGCCUUGGGGUUGAAACAACCUUAACCUAUUCUCAAACUUUAAAUAUGUAAGA
rnacentral:rRNA from 1 species